rnacentral:tRNA from 1 species
AGGGGUAUAGUUCAGUGGAACAGCACUUGCUUGGCAAGCAUGAGGUCCUGAGUUUGAUUCCUGGUACACAUA